CGAGUCCUUAACUGACGCUAAAGCUCGAAAGUGCGGGUAUCGAACAGGAUUAGAUACCCUGGUAGUCCGCACGGUAAACGAUGGAUGCCCGCUGUUGGCGAUAUAUUGUCAGCGGCCAAGCGAAAGCGUUAAGCAUCCCACCUGGGGAGUACGCCGGCAACGGUGAAACUCAAAGGAAUUGACGGGGGCCCGCACAAGCGGAGGAACAUGUGGUUUAAUUCGAUGAUACGCGAGGAACCUUACCCGGGCUUGAACUGCCAGCGAACGAUUCAGAGAUGAUGAGGCCCUUCGGGGCGCUGGUGGAGGUGCUGCAUGGUUGUCGUCAGCUCGUGCCGUGAGGUGUCGGCUUAAGUGCCAUAACGAGCGCAACCCCUUUCUCCAGUUGCCAUCAGGUAGAGCUGGGCACUCUGGAGACACUGCCACCGUAAGGUGUGAGGAAGGUGGGGAUGACGUCAAAUCAGCACGGCCUGAACGUGCGGUGGCUACACACGUGUUACAAUGGGUGGUACAGAGAGUCGGUCGCUGGCAAUAGCGAUCCAAUCCUAAAAGCCAUCCUCAGUUCGGAUUGGGGUCUGCAACCCGACCCCAUGAAGCGGAUUC
rnacentral:rRNA from 1 species